rnacentral:rRNA from 1 species
AUUGAACGCUGGCGGCAUGCCUUACACAUGCAAGUCGAACGGCAGCACGGGAGCAAUCCUGGUGGCGAGUGGCGAACGGGUGAGUAAUAUAUCGGAACGUGCCCAGUCGUGGGGGAUAACGUAGCGAAAGCUACGCUAAUACCGCAUACGAUCUAUGGAUGAAAGCGGGGGAUCGCAAGACCUCGCGCGAUUGGAGCGGCCCGAUAUCAGAUUAGGUAGUUGGUGAGGUAAAGGCUCACCAAGCCGACGAUCUGUAGCUGGUCUGAGAGGACGACCAGCCACACU